GGGCGAGUGGCGGAAUUGGUAGACGCGCAGCGUUCAGGGCGCUGUGAGAGCAAUCUCGUGGGAGUUCGACUCUCCCCUCGCCCA
rnacentral:tRNA from 1 species